ensembl:lncRNA
CAGCAGGGACAGGGAGGUGAUUGUCCCUCUCUACUCUGCUCUUGCGAGGUCCCAUCUGGAGUACAGUGUCCAGGUAUGGAGCCCACAGUACAGGAAAGACAGAGAGCUGUUGGAGAGGGUCCAGAGGAAGGCCAUGAAGAUGAUCAGGGGGCUGGAGCACCUCCCCUAUGAGGACAGGCUGAGGGAGCUGGGCAUGUUCGGCCUGGAGAAGAGAAUGCUGCGGGGUGACCUCAUUGCAGCCUUUCAGUACCUGAAGGGAGCCUGUAAACAGGAAGGGAUUAAACUCUUUGAAAGGGUAGAUAACAGCAGGACAAGGGGGAACGGUUUUAAGUUGAAAGAGGGGAGAUUUAAGUUGGAUGUUAAGGGGAAGUUCUUUACCAGGAGAGUGGUGAGGUGCUGUAAUGGGCUGCCCAGAGAGGAGGUUGUGGAUGCCCCAUCCCUGGAGGUGUUCAAGGCCAGGUUGGAUGGGGCCCUGGGCAACCUGGUCUAGUAAAUGGGGAGGUUGGUGGCCCUGCCUGGCAAGGG